CCUACGGGGUGCAGCAGUGAGGAAUAUUGGUCAAUGGACGAGAGUCUGAACCAGCCAAGUAGCGUGAAGGAUGACUGCCCUAUGGGUUGUAAACUUCUUUUAUAUGGGAAUAAAAUGUUCCACGUGUGGGAUUUUGUAUGUACCAUAUGAAUAAGGAUAGGCUAACUCCGUGCCAGCAGCCGCGGUAAUACGGAGGAUCCGAGCGUUAUCCGGAUUUAUUGGGUUUAAAGGGAGCGUAGGUGGAUUGUUAAGUCAGUUGUGAAAGUUUGCGGCUCAACCGUAAAAUUGCAGUUGAAACUGGCAGUCUUGAGUACAGUAGAGGUGGGCGGAAGUCGGGGUGUAGCGGUGAAAUGCUUAGAUAGAACGAAGAACUCCGAUUGCGAAGGCAGCUUACUGGACAGUAACUGACGUUGAGGCUCGAAAGCGUGGGGAGCAAACAGGAUUAGAUACCCGAGUAGUC
rnacentral:rRNA from 1 species